rnacentral:rRNA from 1 species
UACAGAGGGUGCGAGCGUUGUCCGGAAUCACUGGGCGUAAAGGGCGCGUAGGCGGCGCGGGGAGUCAACGGUGAAAGCUCGGCGCUCAACGCCGAGUCGGCCGUCGAUACUCCCGUGCUCGAGCACUGUAGAGGCAGGUGGAAUUCCGGGUGUAGCGGUGGAAUGCGUAGAGAUCCGGAAGAACACCGGUGGCGAAGGCGGCCUGACUGGGCCAGUAGCUGGACGCUGAGGAGCGAAAGCGUGGGGAGCGAACAGG